ACGCUCGACACCUACGGGAAGCAGCAGUGAGGGAUAUUGGUCAAUGGGGGAAACCCUGAACCAGCAACGCCGCGUGAGGGAUGACGGCCUUCGGUUGUAACCUCUGUCCUCUGCGAAGAUAAUGACGGUAGCAGAGGAGGAAGCUCCGGCUAACUACGUGUCAGCAGCCGCGGUAAUCUGAGCGGGCUGGCAAGGC
rnacentral:rRNA from 1 species